UACGUAGGGUGCGAGCGUUGCCCGGAUUUAUUGGGCGUAAAGGGCGCGUAGGCGGCCACGCACGUCCGUUGUGAAAUCGCCCGGCUCAACUGGGCGGGGUCAGCGGAUACGGUGUGGCUAGAGCAAGCUAGGGGGCAAUGGAAUUCCCGGUGUAGUGGUGGAAUGCGCAGAUAUCAGGAGGAACACCGAUGGCGAAGGCAGGUCACUGGGCCGCAACUGACGCUGAGGAGCGAAAGCAUGGGGAGCGAACAGG
rnacentral:rRNA from 1 species